GCAACCAACUCACUGAGCUUCCUCCCACAGCAGACAUUCAUUCAACCUUCUACUGCAGGCGAGGGAGAAAUCUGCUCCUGACAGGCCCUAAAGCUUUUGUGUUUUAAAACACACUUCCCAUUAUUGCUGGAUCGGUCUGCUGAAUCUUCGUUGCACUUCCUGAAUGGCAGGUAUAUCGUUUCUCAGGUUUGGAGAUCAAAACUGCACACAUUACUUCAGAUUUGUUGCGAGGAUAAGGUGACAGUAGAACCCAGGAAGUCAACUAUUUUGACAUCAUUCUCACAAACAAUGAAGCAAGCACUGGAAUAAAAGCAACUGCAGACUUACCAAACUCAUUCAACAGAAGAGGGAGGUGUUCACCCAACUGAAAAUCAAAUCCCAGGAGGAGAAAGAGUCUUCUAGAUUUACUUGUAUUCCCAGCUUUCCUCCUAAUUAUAUUUGAACCAAAUGAAAGAUUCUUAAAUUAAUCUGAGUUCCCUGUGAGAAGAGAUAUAUAUAACAUACUCCUGGGUUUUGGAGCCACCUCUAAUCAGAACAAUGAAAAGGACACACAGCAUGAGGAGAUGUAUUCACUCUGGCUUGCUAUUCUUAUCUUUGGAGAAAUAAAAA